rnacentral:rRNA from 1 species
UACGUAGGGGGCAAGCGUUGUCCGGAAUCAUUGGGCGUAAAGCGCGUGUAGGCGGUUCAGUAAGUCUGCUGUGAAAGUCCAGGGCUCAACCCUGGGAUGCCGGUGGAUACUGCUGGGCUAGAGUACGGAAGAGGCGAGUGGAAUUCCCGGUGUAGCGGUGAAAUGCGCAGAUAUCGGGAGGAACACCUAUUGCGAAGGCAGCUCGCUGGGACGUCACUGACGCUGAGACGCGAAAGCGUGAGGAGCAAACAGG